GACGAACGCUGGCGGCGUGCCUAAUACACGCAAGUCGAACGCUUCUUUCCUCCCGAGUGCUUGCACUCAAUUGGAAAGAGGAGUGGCGGACGGGUGAGUAACACGUGGGUAACCUACCCAUCAGAGGGGGAUAACACUUGGAAACAGGUGCUAAUACCGCAUAACAGUUUAUGCCGCAUGGCAUAAGAGUGAAAGGCGCUUUCGGGUGUCGUUGAUGGAUGGACCCGCGGUGCAUUAGCUAGUUGGUGAGGUAACGGCUCACCAAGGCCACGAUGCAUAGCCGACCUGAGAGGGUGAUCGGCCACACUGGGACUGAGACACGGCCCAGACUCCUACGGGAGGCAGCAGUAGGGAAUCUUCGGCAAUGGACGAAAGUCUGACCGAGCAACGCCGCGUGAGUGAAGAAGGUUUUCGGAUCGUAAAACUCUGUUGUUAGAGAAGAACAAGGACGUUAGUAACUGAACGUCCCCUGACGGUAUCUAACCAGAAAGCCACGGCUAACUACGUG
rnacentral:rRNA from 1 species